rnacentral:lncRNA from 1 species
CGUGACAAUCCACGGCUCUUCUGCAGCCAGCACAGACUGAGGCCUCUACCUCACACCUGUCCCUUCUUGCUUGGUCCCAUUCCCUCCAGCUGUCUUCUCAGCAAGCCAUCCAUCAACCUCCUCUAGGCAGGAGUCAGCACCAAGAGGAAGUGCUCAGAGGAGCUGAAGAUCUCUACCUUGGGCAUCUUCAAUCUAAAACCCCAGCUUAGGUACCCAUGAUUUAACUACCCUCCCUUAACAUCUUCUAAGAAAUAACUUCUCUUCUCCCG